rnacentral:rRNA from 1 species
GACGAACGCUGGCGGCGUGCUUAACACAUGCAAGUCGAACGGUGAAGCGCCUUCCUUUUUGGUGGGUGUGGAUGAGUGGCGAACGGGUGAGUAACACGUGAGUAACCUGCCCCCUUCUUCUGGAUAACCGCAUGAAAGUGUGGCUAAUACGGGAUAUUCUGGGUCUGUCGCAUGAUGGGUCUGGGAAAGAUAUUGUUUCGGUGGGGGAUGGGCUCGCGGCCUAUCAGCUUGUUGGUGGGGUGAUGGCCUACCAAGGCGGUGACGGGUAGCCGGCCUGAGAGGGUGGACGGUCACACUGGGACUGAGACACGGCCCAGACUCCUACGGGAGGCAGCAGUGGGGAAUAUUGCACAAUGGGCGCAAGCCUGAUGCAGCGACGCCGCGUGAGGGAUGGAGGCCUUCGGGUUGUGAACCUCUUUCGCCAGUGAAGCAGGCUUGCCUCGUUUGUGGGUGGGUUGACGGUAGCUGGAGAAGAAGCGCCGGCUAACUACGUG